UACGGGGGGGGCAAGCGUUGUUCGGAAUUACUGGGCGUAAAGGGCGCGUAGGCGGCCUUCUAAGUCGGACGUGAAAUCCCUCGGCUCAACCGAGGAACUGCGUCCGAUACUGGAGGGCUUGAAUCCGGGAGAGGGAUGUGGAAUUCCAGGUGUAGCGGUGAAAUGCGUAGAUAUCUGGAGGAAUACCGGUGGCGAAGGCGGCAUCCUGGACCGGCAUUGACGCUGAGGAGCGAAAGCUAGGGGAGCAAACGGG
rnacentral:rRNA from 1 species